GCCAGGGUAUUACGAGCCUAAGCUUAAAACCCAAAGGACUUGACGGUGUCCCACCCACCUAGAGGAGCCUGUUCUAUAAUCGAUACUCCCCGCUAUACCUCACCAUUCUUAGCCUCUCAGCCUGUAUACCUCCGUCGUAAGCUUACCAUGUGAACGCCCCUAGUAAGCUCAAAGGCCCUCCACCCACACGUCAGGUCAAGGUGCAGCUCAUGUAAUGGAAAGUAAUGGGCUACAAUUUCUAAUUUAGAACAUACGAAAGACUACAUGAAACACAGUCAUGAAGGCGGAUUUAGUANUAAAAAGAAAACAGUGUGUUCUUUUUAACUAGGCACUGGGACGCGU
rnacentral:rRNA from 1 species